rnacentral:rRNA from 1 species
AACGAACGCUGGCGGCAUGCCUAACACAUGCAAGUCGAACGAGACCUUCGGGUCUAGUGGCGCACGGGUGCGUAACGCGUGGGAACCUGCCCUUAGGUUCGGAAUAACUCCCCGAAAGGGGUGCUAAUACCGGAUAAUGUCUUCGGACCAAAGAUUUAUCGCCUUUGGAUGGGCCCGAGUUGGAUUAGCUAGUUGGUAGGGUAAAAGCCUACCAAGGCGACGAUCCAUAGCUGGUCUGAGAGGAUGAUCAGCCACACUGGGACUGAGACACGGCCCAGACUCCUACGGGAGGCAGCAGUGGGGAAUAGUGGACAAUGGGCGAAAGCCUGAUCCAGCAAUGCCGCGUAAGUGAUGAAGGCCUUAGGGUUGUAAAGCUCUUUUACCCGGGAUGAUAAUGACAGUACCGGGAGAAUAAGCGCCGGCUAACUCCGUG